GAUGAACGCUGGCGGCGUGCCUAAUACAUGCAAGUCGAGCGGGUGUAGCAAUACAUCAGCGGCGAACGGGUGAGUAACACGUGGGUAACCUGCCUCUCAGUCUGGGAUACCCCGAGGGAAACCUCGGCUAAUACCGGAUACUUCUCUUGAAGGCAUCUUCGAGAGAUAAAAACGGCUUCACAGCCGCGCUGAGAGAUGGACCUGCGGCGCAUUAGCUAGUUGGUGAGAUAAUAGCCCACCAAGGCGAGGAUGCGUAGCCGACCUGAGAGGGUGAUCGGCCACAAUGGAACUGAGAAACGGUCCAUACUCCUACGGGAGGCAGCAGUAGGGAGUUUUCGGCAAGUGGGGGAACCCUGACCGAGCAACGCCGCGUGAGUGA
rnacentral:rRNA from 1 species